UACGUAGGGUGCGAGCGUUAAUCGGAAUACUGGGCGUAAGGCGUGCGCAGGCGGUGAUGUAAGACAGGUGUGAAAUCCCCGGGCUUAACCUGGGAACUGCAUUUGUGACUGCAUCGCUGGAGUGCGGCAGAGGGGGAUGGAAUUCCGCGUGUAGCAGUGAAAUGCGUAGAUAUGCGGAGGAACACCGAUGGCGAAGGCAGCCCCCUGGGAUAACACUGACGCUCAUGCACGAAAGCGUGGGGAGCAAACAGG
rnacentral:rRNA from 1 species